rnacentral:rRNA from 1 species
UACGUAGGGUGCGAGCGUUAAUCGGAAUUACUGGGCGUAAAGCGUGCGCAGGCGGCCUGUUAAGUCCGAUGUGAAAUCCCCGGGCUUAACCUGGGAACUGCAUUGGUGACUGGCGGGCUUUGAGUGUGGCAGAGGGAGGUAGAAUUCCACGUGUAGCAGUGAAAUGCGUAGAGAUGUGGAGGAAUACCGAUGGCGAAGGCAGCCUCCUGGGCCAACACUGACGCUCAUGCACGAAAGCGUGGGGAGCAAACAGG